GUUUGGCAUCACUAAGUCUCCUUGGAUUGGACUGGAUUAAUCUCUAGUGUAAUCCCAUGUUUGUUUUACACGGGAACUAAGUUUAAUGGGACUAGGGUGGACUCGCUUCGACUAACACCCGGAUUGGGCGGUCUUAGUGAGGGCCCCCGAAAACAUCAGGAUUGCUAAGACUUCGCUCGUCUGUUUCCACGGCUGCCCACAAGAUGAAGAAGGUAAGGGUUCAAAUCGCCAGGCUUCAGCUCCAAGAAGAGUGGGUCAGCCGGGUCUGGGUCUUGGGAAGCCUAAAGGGGCUAUGACGGUGGGUGAGCUGAUGAGGAUUCAAAUGGGAAUUUCAGAGUGAAUUUCCUUCAAAUUUGGGGGAAUGUCAGCGAGGUGUUUGAUGAUGAUGAUUUCGUUAUUGUUGGUGAUGUGGACAUUGGGGAAGGUAAGCAAAGUGAGAAUGAUGAACUGGGCAGUGGCGAAUUGAGGAAGAAGAAGAGGAAGAAAGAAAAAGUUGCUGGCGAGUUGAAGGGUGAGAAAAGGUUGAAGAAAUCAGCUAAGGCGAAAGAUGAUGCUGAGUUAAAUGGGGAAAAUGUUGUUGGUGAGAAGAAGUUGAAAAGGUCGUCGAAGGCAGGAGAAGAAGAUGGUGCCACUGUCAAUCAUAAGAAAGAUGGGUUGUCCUUGAAAGAGAAGCAAAAAGAUGGUACAAGGAAGAAAGCAGAUGAUUUGUCGGCUCGAGGAUGAGAGUCUAUUGGAAAGAAAGAGAAGAGAAAGAGUAAAGAGUCUGUUGGAAAGAAGGAGAAAAGGAAGAGUGAAGAUGAAAUGUUGAAGAGCACAGAAGCAAACCUGAAGAAGGCCAAGAGAAGUAAGAAAGCAGCAGAGUGAUUCGGGAUAACAGGCUCCAGGCGAAUGACUGGCUUUGUGGUGGGAUUCAAUAGAUCCGGGCAAGCUCAUACGUCUAAAGGUGCAGUGGAUGGUGAAGGGCCAGCCUGGGCUCUCUUAAGAGAUAAUUACAUUCUCACAAAUCCCAAAUUGAAAUACUGGGAUAAGAUGCCGGUAAGGAUCUUUAAUCACAUCUUGUUAAGUGUUUCACCUGUCAAAGACACUCGCGUGCUCUCACUUAAACACGUGCGCGCAUACACAAUGCACUUCUAGUUGCUAUUAUGUAUUAUGGUGACACAUUGCUGUAAUUUGCAUACAGGACACCGUUGUGGAAGAUGACAUUGGAAGGGUGGCUGGAGAUAGUUACGAUGACGAUUGAUGUUGUGGAACUGCACAAACGACUAUGUGCUGAUUGUUUCCUAGGCAUACUUUUUGUAAACAUGACGUGUUAUCCUUGUUGCUACUGCACAAGAGGAAUUUUGUUUUCGAUUUUCAUUAAUGUUAUAAAUGAGUGCUCUAUGAUACGAUUAGCGAAAAUAUCCUGUUUUUCUUGCU